AGAGUUUGAUCCUGGCUCAGAUUGAACGCUGGCGGCAGGCCUAACUCAUGCAAGUCGAGCGGAAGAGAGAAGCUUGCUUCUCUUGAGAGCGGCGGACGGGUGAGUAACGCGUAGGAAUCUACCUGGUAGUGGGGGACAACAUUCGGAAACGGAUGCUAAUACCGCAUACGCCCUAGGGGGGAAAGGAGGGGAUCUAUUUAUAGACCUUUCGCUAUCAGAUGAGCCUGCAUAGGAUUAGCUAGUUGGUAGGGUAAAGGCCUACCAAGGCGACUAUCCUUAGCUGGUCUGAGAGGAUGACCAGCCACACUGGGACUGAGACACGGCCCAUACUCCUACGGGAGGCAGCAGUGGGGAAUAUUGGACAAUGGGGGCAACCCUGAUCCAGCCAUGCCGCGUGUGUGAAGAAGGCCUUCGGGUUGUAAAGCACUUUCAGUGGUGAGGAAAGGGUAGCGGCUAAUAACCGUUAUCUGUGACGUUAGCCACAAAAGAAGCACCGGCUAAUUCCGUGCCAGCAGCCGCGGUAAUACGGAAGGUGCGAGCGUUAAUCGGAAUAACUGGGCGUAAAGCGCGCGUAGGUGGUUGAUUCAGUCAGAUGUGAAAGCCCCGGGCUUAACCUGGGAACUGCACCUGAUACUGCUUAACUAGAGUACGGUAGAGGGCAGUGGAAUUUCCUGUGUAGCGGUGA
rnacentral:rRNA from 1 species